GAACAUUUAACAAUUACUUUAGCUAUAAAUAAAAUGACCUGGCUGCCGUCAGUCAGUUUACAUCACAUGAUGACCUUUCACCUGAGGUCAUCCGUGACGUGCCCUAAGAGAGAGUUGUGACCACUGGACGCCACAGACAGACGCUCAGCGGAAUUGAUAUUUCAUUUCACUCUCUAAAAAGGGGGAACUUCAACUGCCGAGUCCGGUGGAGACGCAGGAUCACAUCCCUCUUCCGGCGUUAAAGAGGGAUCCCUUCAGCUGUCUCCCGGACGUCGCUACCCCUAGAUUCGGUUACUUUACUUUACUUUAAAGACCCGCAACUUUAGUUGUUGAGUUUGGUUUUGUUUUGUCUACUAUUUUUGAUUAAAUAAAAGGCCCUGUUGGGCUAUUUUUCCCCA